UGGGGAAUAUUGGACAAUGGGCGCAAGCCUGAUCCAGCCAUGCCGCGUGUGUGAAGAAGGCCUUCGGGUUGUAAAGCACUUUCAGUGGGGAGGAAAGCCGCGCGCUUAAUACGGGCGCGGUGUGACGUUACCCACAGAAGAAGCACCGGCUAACUCCGUGCCAGCAGCCGCGGUAAUACGGAGGGUGCGAGCGUUAAUCGGAAUCACUGGGCGUAAAGCGCAUGCAGGCGGUGACUCAAGUCAGAUGUGAAAGCCCCGGGCUUAACCUGGGAGUUGCAUUUGAAACUGGGUCGCUGGAGUCUGGUAGAGGGGGGUAGAAUUCCAGGUGUAGCGGUGAAAUGCGUAGAGAUCUGGAGGAAUACCGGUGGCGAAGGCGGCCCCCUGGACCAAGACUGACGCUCAGAUGCGAAAGCGUGGGGAGCAAACAGGAUUAGAUACCCCCGUAGUCC
rnacentral:rRNA from 1 species